rnacentral:rRNA from 1 species
CCUACGGGUGGCAGCAGUGAGGAAUAUUGGUCAAUGGGCGCGAGCCUGAACCAGCCAAGUAGCGUGAAGGAUGACUGCCCUACGGGUUGUAAACUUCUUUUAUAAAGGAAUAAAGUGAGGCACGUGUGCCUUUUUGUAUGUACUUUAUGAAUAAGGAUCGGCUAACUCCGUGCCAGCAGCCGCGGUAAUACGGAGGAUCCGAGCGUUAUCCGGAUUUAUUGGGUUUAAAGGGUGCGUAGGCGGAUCGUUAAGUCAGUGGUAAAAUUGAGGGGCUCAACCCCUUCCCGCCAUUGAAACUGGCGUUCUUGAGUGGGAGAGAAGUAUGCGGAAUGCGUGGUGUAGCGGUGAAAUGCAUAGAUAUCACGCAGAACCCCGAUUGCGAAGGCAGCAUGCCGGCUUCCGACCGACGCUGAAGCACGAAAGCGUGGGGAUCGAACAGGAUUAGAUACCCUUGUAGUC